rnacentral:rRNA from 1 species
CGCCUAAGGAUGAGUUGGCGGCGGAUUAGCUUGUUGGUGGGGUAAUGGCCCACCAAGGCAUUGAUCCGUAGGGGCCUUGGAAGAGGUAGCCCCGAGAAGGACACUGAGAUACUGGUCCUAGCCCCACGGGGUGCAGCAGGCGCGAAAACUUUACACUACACGAAAGUGUGAUAAGGGGAUUCCAAGUGCUUACACACAUGUGUAAGCUUUUAGUGAGAGCAAAAUUCUCGCUGAAUAAGUGGUGGGUAAGACCGGUGCCAGCAGCCGCGGUAAUCCCGGCGCCACAAGUAGGGAGCAGGGUUAUUGGGCCUAAAGCGUUCGUAGCAGGUCGUGUAAAUCUCUUGUGAAAUCGUAGGGCUUAACCUUACGGCGUGCAGGAGAGACUGCUCGACUUGAGACCGGGAGGGGUAGAGAGUAUUCCUUGGGGAGCGGUAAAAUGCUAUAAUCCUUGGAAGACUACCUGUGGCGAAGGCGCUCUACCAGAACGGGUCUGACUGUGAGGGACGAAAGCCAGGGGAGCAAUCCGGAUUAGAUACCCGAGUAGUCCUGGCCGUAAACGCUGUGAGCAAGGUGUUGCAUAUUCUAAUAUGAAUAUGCAGUGUCGAAACGAAGGUGUUAAGCUCACCGCCUGGGAAGUACGGUCGCAAGACUGGAACUUAAAGGAAUUGGCGGGGGAGCAC